rnacentral:rRNA from 1 species
UACGUAGGGGGCAAGCGUUGUCCGGAAUCAUUGGGCGUAAAGAGCGUGUAGGCGGCUCGGUAAGUCCGCUGUGAAAGUCCAGGGCUCAACCCUGGAAUGCCGGUGGAAACUGUCGAGCUAGAGUCCGGAAGAGGCGAGUGGAAUUCCUGGUGUAGCGGUGAAAUGCGCAGAUAUCAGGAGGAACACCGGUGGCGAAGGCGGGUCUCUGGGCCGAUACUGACGCUGAGGUGCGAAAGCGUGGGGAGCAAACAGG